AGUGAACGCUGGCGGUAGGCCUAACACAUGCAAGUCGAACGGCAGCACAGUAAGAGCUUGCUCUUACGGGUUGCGAGUGGCGGACGGGUGAGGAAUACAUCGGAAUCUACUUUUUCGUGGGGGAUAACGUAGGGAAACUUACGCUAAUACCGCAUACGACCUACGGGUGAAAUCAGGGGAUCUUCGGACCUUGCGCGAUUGAAUGAGCCGAUGUCGGAUUAGCUAGUUGGCGGGGUAAAGGCCCACCAAGGCGACGAUCCGUAGCUGGUCUGAGAGGAUGAUCGGCCACACUGGAACUGAGACACGGUCCAGACUCCUACGGGAGGCAGCAGUGGGGAAUAUUGGACAGUGGGCGCAAGCCUGAUCCAGCCAUACCGCGUGGGUGAAGAAGGCCUUCGGGUUGUAAAGCCCUUUUGUUGGGAAAGAAAAGCAGCAGGUUAAUACCCCGCUGUUCUGACGGUACCCAAAGAAUAAGCACCGGCUAACUUCGUG
rnacentral:rRNA from 1 species